ACUUCGUGCCUGUUGAAGAAUGUUCCGGCGACUUAUAGUUAGUGGCAGGUUAAAAUAGAGAUAUUGAAGCCAGAGUGAAAGCGAGCUUGAAUAGAGCGAAAGUCACUAAUUAUAGACCCGAACCCGCUUGAUCUAACCAUGGCCAGGAUGAAGCAUAGGUAAUACUAUGUGGAGGUCCGAACCGACUAAUGUUGAAAAAUUAGCGGAUGAGUUGUGGUUAGGGGUGAAAUGCCAAUCGAAAGCGGAGCUAGCUGGUUCUCCCCGAAAUGUAUUUAGGUGCAGCGGUUAAUGUUUUAGCAUAGGGGUAAAGCACUGUUUCGGUGCGGGCUGGUAAUUCGGUACCAAAUCGAGGCAAACUCUGAAUACUACGUGCAUAAUUAACCAGUAAGACUACGAGGGAUAAGCUUCAUAGUCAAGAGGGAAACAGCCCAGAUCACCAGUUAAGGCCCCUAAAUAAUUACUAAGUGGUAAAGGUAGUGAAAAGGCUUAGACAACCAGGAGGUUUGCUUAGAAGCAGCAAUCCUUUAAAAAGUGCGUAAUAGCUUACUGGUCUAGCAGUUUCGCGCCGAAAAUUAAUGGGUCUAAGUAAUUUGCCGAAGCUGUGAGAUAUAUCUUUUGAUAUUUCGGUAGGGGAGCGUUCCAUUGUAGAAAGAAGUAUUAGCGAAAGCGGAUAUGGACGAAAUGGAAGUGAGAAUGUCGGAUUGAGUAGCGAAAACAUUGGUGAGAAUCCAAUGCUCCGAAACCCUAAGGUUUCCUCCGGAAGGUUCGUCCGCGGAGGGUUAGUCAGGUCCUAAGGUGAGGCUGAAAAGCGUAAUCGAUGGAUAAUAGGUUAAUAUUCCUAUACUAAUUAUUAUUGUUAUUAAGGGACGGAGCAGGUUAAACUAGCUGGAUUUUGGUUACCAGUUUAAGUAAUUAAGGUGUUGACGAUUGGCGAAAACAAUCUGAGCUAAAAUACGAGUACAAGACUUUCAAUAGUCAAAGUAGUUAAUAUCAUACUUCCAAGAAAAGCUUAUCAUAACGUAAAUAAUAAUUACUUGUACCUUAAACCGACACAGGUAGGAAGGUAGAGAAUACCAAGGAGCGCGAGAGAACCCUCUUUAAGGAACUCGGCAAAAUAACUCUGUAACUUCGGAAGAAAGAGUGCCCAAUUGGGUUGCAAUAUCAAGUUCCAAGCAACUGUUUAACAAAAACACAGGUCUCCGCUAAGUCGCAAGACGAUGUAUGGGGGCUGACGCCUGCCCAGUGCCAGAAGGUUAAAGAAAUGGGUUAGCGAAAGCGAAGCUCGUGACUGAAGCCCUGGUGAACGGCGGCCGUAACUAUGACGGUCCUAAGGUAGCGAAAUUCCUUGUCGGGUAAGUUCCGACCCGCACGAAUGGCGUAAUGAUUUGGAAGCUGUCUCAAGGAGGGACUCGGCGAAAUAGAAUUGUCUGUGAAGAUGCGGACUACCUGUGCCAGGACAUUAAGACCCUAUGAAGCUUUACUGUAUCCUGAAAUUGAAGAUUGAUUUUAUUUGCGCAGAAUAGGUGGGAGACUUAGAGUAUUCUCUUGUGGGAGAAUAGGAGUCAUCGUUGAGAUACCACUCUGAUAAAAUUGAUCUUCUAACUUCAUACCGUUAGCCGGUUGAAAAACAGUUUCAGGUGGGCAGUUUGACUGGGGCGGUCGCCUCCUAAAAGGUAACGGAGGCGCACAAAGGUUUCCUCAAAUCGGUCAGAAAUCGAUUGUAGAGUGUAAAGGCAUAAGGAAGCUUAACUGUGAGACAAACAAGUCGAACAGAGACGAAAGUCGGUCUUAGUGAUCUGACGCUGCUGUGUGGAAAGGGCGUCACUCAACGGAUAAAAGUUACUCUAGGGAUAACAGGCUGAUCUCCCCCAAGAGUUCCUAUCGACGGGGAGGUUUGGCACCUCAAAUGGGGGCAUUAUAAUUUAAAGUUUAUAAUGGCAAUUUGGCUAUAUGCUGGAAACUCCGUUCAUGAAAAAUGAUGUAGGAUCCUAAAAUACGGUGCCUUAAUAGGGUACGUAAAAAAGUUUAGGUGCGGACAAUCAGCAGGGAAGUUUGACUUUAUUUGACAAACCCCUCAACGACUACACGCCGAACAACAAUUGUUGAUGAUAUAGUCUGAUCUUUUAGGCGACUAAAAGGAUUUUUUGUCGUAAAUUUAAACGGCUUUAUUUUAAAUCGAAAUUCUCGAUUAUUGAAAACCAAAAUAAUUCAUGGAUACAACUUUCACCCAGCUUCAAAAAGAUUUAUUAGUUGGAUGCUUGU
rnacentral:rRNA from 1 species